UACCUUAGGGGAGAAACUGUGCGUUCUAUGUUGAAGAAUGCUUUUUAAUUCACUUUGAAAGUCAUAAGCGUAUAGCUUUUCCCCUUAGGUG
rnacentral:pre_miRNA from 1 species